UUUGUUACAAUAAGUUUGCUUUUGUUCGUGCGACUUCAAUUUACACACUCUUCAAUACACAAAUAGUGCUAGAGAAAACCACGAAAUGCUCUUAUUUUGGCGAACUGAAGCCAUGAAACUUACCACUAUGUCUGAUAAACAAUGCGAUUUUAGCUGGGUUUUGAUGUUUUAUGAAGUUCUUGUUACAUUUGGAUCUACAGUUUAGUUGUGCUACAAUCUUCGACAAGGAGGUCGCAAAUUUCCUUCCGGCGUCUUCUUCUAAGUUCUAAGCAGAGUCGGUUCGUCGAGUGAAGAUCUGUGCUCUCGGUUGAGUCUCCCGCGUCUUCUCCCAUCCAGAGUCUCUUCCUCAAGCCGUCUUCAGAAUGCUCGAAUCACUAGAGUAUGAACUAUACUUGAUGGCCGAUGUAAUAUAGUUAACAGUAAGCCCAAUUGAGGCCCAAAUGAUGAUGAUCGCUAUCGACUUUUUGGAGGCGAUCGUUCUGUGGUUGAAGGUGUUAACAUAGACGGGGGCUGAAGGAUUUGGAUAGAUCAUGUUCCAAUGUCUAAGCAUUAGUUACGGUGAUCAGAAGACUUGAGUAAGUGCAUUCAACAGGAUUUCUUCACUUUCUUCGCAUCUUGGCCAUAAAGAAAAUCCGGUAAUGUUUUUUGAUGCAAGUGACAGAUGACAAGGUUAACUGAUGCAUAAUGUUGGGUAAUCGAAUGUGGAAGAGUAAGCAUCACUUCUAGUGGUUUACCAUAUUCCAUGUCCAUAUUAAGAGAAUAGAGUAUGUGCAUUCAAAAGGAUUCCUGCAGAGGCAUAAAACUUCCUUUCCUCUUGCAUCUUGGACACUAAACAAAUUAGGUG